rnacentral:rRNA from 1 species
UCCCCCUCCCUUUAGCUGGGGCACAACCUUGAUAAAUCAAGGCUACUUCCCCUUAACCUUGCGAAUGGGCAUCCUAUUGCAAUUACAGAUUCAUCGGAUAAAGAUGGGCCUGCUUUCCAUUAUCUAGUUGGUAAGGUAACCGCUUACCACGGCAACGAUCGAUACCUGGAGUGAGAUCCCCACCAGUCACACUGACACUGAGAUACGACCCCUACUCCUACGGGAGGCAACAAUUAUGGAUAUUGGUCAAUGGGCGAGAGCCUGACCCACCCAUGCCGCGAGAACGAUGAAGGUCCUCUGGAUUGGAUACUUCUUUUAUCUAUGAAUAGACGCCCGAUUUCUAUUGACUUUGACGGUAAUAUAUGAAUAAGCUCCGUCUAACUCCGUGCCCGCAGCCACGGUAAU